rnacentral:rRNA from 1 species
UACGAAGGGUGCAAGCGUUACUCGGAAUUACUGGGCGUAAAGCGUGCGUAGGUGGUUCGUUAAGUCUGAUGUGAAAGCCCUGGGCUCAACCUGGGGAUGGCAUUGGAAACUGGCGACCUAGAGUGCGGUAGAGGGUAGUGGAAUUCCCGGUGUAGCAGUGAAAUGCGUAGAGAUCGGGAGGAACAUCUGUGGCGAAGGCGACUACCUAGACCAGCACUGACACUGAGGCACGAAAGCGUGGGGAGCAAACAGG